GCCGCCGCAAGCUCCGAUCAAGUCGCCGUUCGAUUCGCUGAAUCGAGCCUCCAGACGUUCCCGCCAUCCGGCGCGCAGGGGAAGAUCUCCGGCACCUUCCGCCCCCCGCCCGAUGCGGACGAUACGUUCUCGAAGCCGGCUCCGGGGGCUUCGGCGCAGUCGCAGCCGACGGGGUGGAUGCAUUCGUUCACCGUGGCGGCUUACCGGCCUUACUUUGAUGUGG
rnacentral:misc_RNA from 1 species